rnacentral:rRNA from 1 species
AUGCCUGUUAUUCACAAAGUGGACAAACGACUCUCAGGUUGGCUGGCCACUUUCCUUUCUUGGGGAGGACGGCUAACUUUGAUUAAUGCUGUCCUGGCAGCGAUCCCCAGCUACUUCAUGGGCUGCUUUGUCUGGCCCAAGCAAUCCUUACAGCAGCUAGAGCAGAUUAUGAGGGGCUUUCUGUGGCAAGGAAAGAAUCACGCUCAAGGUGGGCAGUGCCUGGUGGCAUGGGAUUAUGUUACCCUGCCGUAG